rnacentral:rRNA from 1 species
AGGGCAGCCAAGUCGUGAGGCGGAGCUAAUCCCUUAAAGCCAUUCUCAGUUCGGAUUGUAGGCUGAAACUCGCCUACAUGAAGCUGGAGUUACUAGUAAUCGCAGAUCAGAAUGCUGCGGUGAAUGCGUUCCCGGGUCUUGUAUACACCGCCCGUCACACCACGGAAGUUGGGGGCGCCCGAAGCCACUUAGCUAACCCUUUUGGGAAGCGAGUGUCGAAGGUGAAAUCAAUAACUGAGGUGAAGUCGUAACAAGGUAGC